UGGAGAGUUUGAUCCUGGCUCAGGACGAACGCUGGCGGCAUGCCUAAUACAUGCAAGUCGAGCGGAGUUCAUUUGAAAGCUUGCUUUCAAAUGAAYUUAGCGGCGGACGGGUGAGUAACACGUAGGCAACCUGCCCUCAAGACUGGGAUAACUACCGGAAACGGUAGCUAAUACCGGAUAAUUUCUUUCCUCUCCUGAAGAGAGAAUGAAAGGCGGAGCAAUCUGCCACUUGGGGAUGGGCCUGCGGCGCAUUAGCUAGUUGGUGGGGUAAYGGCYCACCAAGGCGACGAUGCGUAGCCGACCUGAGAGGGUGAACGGCCACACUGGGACUGAGACACGGCCCAGACUCCUACGGGAGGCAGCAGUAGGGAAUCUUCCGCAAUGGGCGAAAGCCUGACGGAGCAAUGCCGCGUGAGUGAUGAAGGUUUUCGGAUCGUAAAGCUCUGUUGCCAGGGAAGAACGUCCGGUAGAGUAACUGCUACCGGAGUGACGGUACCUGAGAAGAAAGCCCCGGCUAACUACGUGCCAGCAGCCGCGGUA
rnacentral:rRNA from 1 species